rnacentral:rRNA from 1 species
AACGAACGCUGGCGGCAUGCCUAACACAUGCAAGUCGAACGAGACCUUCGGGUCUAGUGGCGCACGGGUGCGUAACGCGUGGGAACCUGCCCUUAGGUUCGGAAUAACUCCCCGAAAGGGGUGCUAAUACCGGAUAAUGUCUUCGGACCAAAGAUUUAUCGCCUUUGGAUGGGCCCGCGUUGGAUUAGCUAGUUGGUAGGGUAAAAGCCUACCAAGGCGACGAUCCAUAGCUGGUCUGAGAGGAUGAUCAGCCACACUGGGACUGAGACACGGCCCAGACUCCUCGGGAAGGCAGCAGUGGGGAAAUUUGGAAAAGGGGCAAAAGCCUGUCCCACCAAUGCCGGGUGAGUGAUGAAGGCUUUAGGGUUUUAAAGCUCUUUUCCCCGGGAUGAUAAUGACAGUCCCGGGAAAAUAAGCUCCGGCAAACCCCGG